GAGAGAGGCACGACAGCAACGAUACCUGCUAAUUUUCGUCACCCCAGUUAAACUCCGGGGCUCACUCG
rnacentral:tRNA from 1 species